UACGUAGGGUGCAAGCGUUAUCCGGAAUUAUUGGGCGUAAAGCGCGCGUAGGUGGUUUGGUAAGUCGGAUGUGAAAACUCGGGGCUCAACCCCGCGCUUGCAUUCGAUACGGGCAGGCUCGAGUUCGGUAGGGGAGACUGGAAUUCCUGGUGUAGCGGUGAAAUGCGCAGAUAUCAGGAGGAACACCGGUGGCGAAGGCGGGUCUCUGGGCCGAUACUGACGCUGAGGCGCGAAAGCGUGGGGAGCAAACAGG
rnacentral:rRNA from 1 species